GACGGAGGAUGCAAGCGUUAUCCGGAAUGAUUGGGCGUAAAGCGUCCGCAGGUGGCAGUUCAAGUCUGCUGUCAAAGACCGGGGCUUAACUUCGGAAAGGCAGUGGAAACUGAACAGCUAGAGUAUGGUAGGGGCAGAGGGAAUUCCUGGUGUAGCGGUGAAAUACGUAGAGAUCAGGAAGAACAUCGGUGGCGAAGGCGCUCUGCUGGACCAUAACUGACACUCAGGGACGAAAGGCUAGGG
rnacentral:rRNA from 1 species